rfam:Gossypium arboreum cultivar AKA8401 contig_13437_1, whole genome shotgun sequence.
UGGUUACACUUGAUCUCUGAACUUCAGGUAAGUUCAUCUGUUGAGAAGCUUAUGUGCUGAUGCU